rnacentral:rRNA from 1 species
UACGUAGGGCGCAAGCGUUGUCCGGAAUUAUUGGGCGUAAAGAGCUCGUAGGCGGCUUGUCACGUCGGGUGUGAAAGCCCGGGGCUUAACCCCGGGUCUGCAUUCGAUACGGGCAGGCUAGAGUGUGGUAGGGGAGAUCGGAAUUCCUGGUGUAGCGGUGAAAUGCGCAGAUAUCAGGAGGAACACCGGUGGCGAAGGCGGUUCUCUGGGCCUGUACUGACGCUGAGGAGCGAAAGCGUGGGGAGCGAACAGG